GCACAAAAUGGCUACAAAAAUGUAUGGAAAUUUUAUAACAGUGUCGCUGAGCUUUAUAUGCUGUCUGCUGCUUUUGUGCUGCAAUGUUCAGGCACAUCUGAACGUGUAUCUCAGUCCACAGGAGGUCAUGCGGUUAUUAGGUGAGUACGACUGUGCUUAAAACCCACAAGUGUAUAGUCACUUUGCCGAAGGACUCGCAAGACUUUCGGAAGUAUUGAAAACGCUUGAGUGCAAAGAGGCGGAAGGCGGUUAAACUGUUGCUGCCAAAGUGUCACAGACAUUGCAAAGUUCUUACCUCAUUUCCCUUCGCUGAUGCUGCUGCUGCUGCAGCGUUGUGGCCGCAUAAUUUGCUCGUCUUGUCUGCGUGGACCGCCUGCUUCCUGCCUGUCGACUUGACUCGCAACAUUUUGUGUGGCGCAUAAUCAGCUACUGGAUUAUGAACAGCGAAAAGUUUACUUUCACAUUUCUUUUUAUUUAUUUAUUUAUUAUUAUGCUUUUUGCACAAGACUUGCUGGUUUGCGAGUAUAACUGUUGCUUUUUGUAGUGCCUUUUAUUGCGCGUAUUUAUAUUUUUACAUUUUUCACUUGCCUCGGCGCGUAUGCGGCAGUGCAGUGGAAUUCGGCAUUAAGAAUGAUUUGUUCUUAUUGUUUCGUCCAUUCGCUGUGGAAAAUAAUGCAAUUGCCUUUAGGGAAAGCGAUAAAAAGCGAAGGCCAAGCAAAUCUGUGGGGAGCCAAACGUCGAAAGGUGUAAACGCCGUUUGCGUUGGCUGACGGUUUAAAAGGCGGCAAAAGUUUGUAAUCUAAUGGCGGUUGACUAACAAAACAAACGUCGGAAAAAGAACUGAGUUGAAGAAAGCACAACAAAAUCGAAAAAAAAAAUCGCUGUGCAAAAAUGCGUAAAAUAAAACAGCCGCCAGUUGACAACAUUUUUUUUUAUAUUUUUUCGCUGCAGCUAUUUCAAUAUUGUAGUCGUGGUUGUUGGCGCCAACUAUGCAACAGCCGGCAAACUGGCGGAAGGAAACGUCACUAGACAACGCGCGGCAACAAUGCAGCUACGGUUGCACUGUGCACACAUAAUUACGAAUUAUUGUUAUUAUUAUUGUUUUAGCAUUUGCAUUUUUACAGCACAUUUUCUUUAAAGUACUGAAGUAAUAAUGAUAAAGUUUGUUUUCAUAUUAGAAGCUAAGUUCUUCAUUUUAUAAGUUUACCUAACACUUAUUAGACUGCAUAAUGUUUGGUAUAAAAAAUUAAUUUAAUGUAAGGCUUAGAAGAUUUCAUUUGUGAAGCAUGGAUAGACCAGGUUUGGGCAAGAUCAAGUUGAGAAAUGCGUUAAUAGAUUACUUUCGGGAACUUGUUAAAGGGUUGUUACGAAUACAUUUUUGAAAUCCUGCGAGUUGUUGAAGGCCACUUAGAUAGGAUUCGCUUAGGUCUAAUGAAUGAGAAUUUUGUGCAGUCAGGCAUUGUUUCGAGCUUCUCUUUCAGUGAAUUAGUCAUUUUUUUUAAAUACAAUGAAGACGUCUCUUGUUAUACCAACACCUCCAGCAUUUGGGGGCCUCAUGAUAUGAGAAUCUGGAAGAGGUUUCGAUAAUGGAGCCACAUAACCUUUUAAAAUUCGCAUAGACAUCGUAAGGAUGACUUCUCCUCGUGCAUUACAUGACGGCGCUCCAACUGGUCUCGCAAAGGACCAAAACUGGUUUAUGUGUGGCUUAUUGCCCUACCAGACUAACGUAACCUAACCUAAAGAUCUGAAAAAUCUUCCAUGCGUCUUCGCUAUAUAAAUGAAAAGAUUGGGGAAACGCAGUCUCCGUUCCGUAUUACACGUAAUUUUUUUAUAAAACGCAUAAUGCAUAAGUCUAUUAUUCCAUGUGAGUUUUCUAAGUGUAGCCUUUGCUAAUUACGUACUUUAGAUAUAUACUUUUAGAUUCGUUUGAAUUUGGUUUCCUUCGGUAUAGAAGAAGAAUAAUAAUUUAAAGAAAAAUAAUAUAAUAAAUAAUUAUUAUUUUUCUAUCCAGUAAUUUGUCCGUGCAGAAGUCAGGAGUCGCCGUCGUCACCGCCAAAAACCAUUAGAUUGGCGACCGAGUCUCACGGUUUAUUUAAAAAUUAUUUAAAUUCUCUAAUAAAUUUUCCUGAUGGCACCUGACUAAUGAUUUUUACGUUGAUUUAUUGAUUAUUCAUACAAAAAUACCUCAAUUACAUUUCUCUAGCAGGUAAAUAAUAAUAUUGUAAAUAAGGGUUAAUGCAUAUGACUUGACGCCCUCUUCAAAUGACAGCUGCACACGUACAUGAAUGUGUAUAUGCAGCGACUUGGCUGCAGCAACAUGUUGCAAGCAAAACACGUUGUCUAGUGUACUGUGGCGACAGCGCAUAUAUAUGUACUUAUACAUAUAUGUAUGACCGUCAUGUGCAAAUGGAAAUGCAUGCAAUUCGUAAGUGAAUGCCGAGUUAGAGUGUAAACGCUCGAUUGGUAAGUGACCAUUCAGCCGGAACCCAGUCGUCGGUUCGAAAAACGGUUGUAUUGGACAUAUUGGUCUUAUGAUUAAUGGCACGCAGAAAGCUUUCAAAGCAACCUGACAGUCGUCGUUGCGAGCCUCAAUACGUUAAGAUACGGGCAUACGGCAGUGUGUGUGUGUCUUUUCCAGCAUGUUACCUGACGCUUCAACUGGUAGCCAGAGUGUUAACUGUGUGUGCGCGUUUGUGCUAUGCCUAGGCCCCUCAAGUAUGUUUUUGCUUGAGUGGCUUGAGUGGCGACUUCAGGAGCGGCAGCUUCAAAAUGAGCCAAAUUAAUUAUGUUGAACUUUUUAAACCCAACGCAAACACGGCCACCACGUUUUGUUGCAAAUGAAAAGCAGAAAACCAAAAACAAAAAAAAAACACGAACUUGUAUUCAACACACGCUUCUGGCAUGUAGCACACACGUUGCAUACACACAAGCGCAACGGUGCACAUUUGUGUACCGAUAAACAAACCAGUUAAAAUGAAAAAGAAGUAGUUAAUUUAUUUUACCAGUUGGUGGUAAAUUUAACACGCUAUAAAUUUCAAAAAACCAACAAGCUAAACAAGACACGACGAAUGCGAAUGCGAACCUUCAAACACACACGUACCAAUAUGCAUACGCACAUAUGGUGUAGAAGUAGGCUGCGCGAGUCGGCGGGGCGCAGGCGCAGUUGUUGAAGAAUGCAAUCGAUCACUUUGCCAUCGCUUCCGCAGACUUGUGCGCUUCUUGAGCGAAAUGGAAGAAGGUGCAGCACGGCGAUGUGACAGGCCUACACCGACGUUGUGCACCGCAUGAUCUUCAUGCAUAUAUGCACAGUUGCUAUGUACUCGUAUGUACGUACGUUAAUUAUGUAAGCGUCAUGCUGUUGCUGCCACAAUCACAUUGCCACAAGAAGAAAACGCAAGCCAACUAUGAGUGGAACGAAGCAAUCGGAUUUGCUUAGUUUAGGGAAAACAUUUUCAAUUUGCCUUUAGAGCUUUUAAUUGCAAGCGAUUGCUUUGUGCUAAGCAGCUCUUAAAAUGUAAAUCUAUCUUAUUUUUAUUUUCAAGAUUAGACUUGUAUGAAAUUUAAAUGACACACUAGCGGGGCAGAUAAGUCUGUUUCAUCGUUUUAAACAUUGUAGCAACAGCUGUUUUCACUUUUGUAAACUUAAAAAGUUUUGAGGAGUAAUGCUUACUUCAUAAAAGCGAAUUAUCAAUCAUUGUUAAGAUCAAUAAUGAUAAAAAAUGAAAAAUUAUAAAAAUUAAAUAUUUAGUUCAAACUUUUUAUUGUCUCGAAGAAACAUAUUUAAUUAGGGACUAUAGAAAUUUGACUGGAAAAUAUUUUAAACGCUGCCAUUGUGACGUAAUUUCUGGCGAACCCUCUGGAAGAUAUUGUAUCCGCGUUGUCUGCAAAAAUCCUAGCAGGAUCAUCAGAAAACACAUUAAACUAGAGGUCGGAAAUUAAACUUUCAAAAUCUGUAUUACACCAUCGUUGUACUUUUCCUAAGGGCUCUAUGUAAUCAAAAUUUGUUCCCAUUGUGACCAUAUUAUUGUUCUUCCGUCGUACUAUUGCAAUCUCAUUAUUGUCAAAACGAUAAUCAUAUUUUAAGAGUUUAACUACUCGUUCACCAAGCGGAUCUUUAGUCACCUCUCCGAAUGAGAUAACAUAGAGGUCUCCCCUCUUUUGUCAGUUGAACUAGUGGAUAAACCGUUAUCAACAAAAUUCAGGUUUAUUUUGAUUUCUAAGAACCUUUUUUGACUUAUUGCAUUUACAACCACUAGAGCACGAAUAUGGUAAUCUACACUACAACAAGCACGCUCUGUCGGAAGUUGGUGAUAACCACUCAAAAGCAAAACUCCAAGAAAUCAUUUCACUUAUUCUAUGCUUAGGUCAAAUUUAUGUCUGUUAUUUUGAUUGGUGUACAUAGCGCUAUUUUCAGCAGUCAUUGUAAGAACAUAAAUGUCAAUAAUUUUCCCAAACAAGUUGUUUUUGAACCUAAUUAGUGGAGUGAUAUUUCAUGUUAUAAUUAGGUGAAACCCAUCUCCGAACUGGUUCACAAAAAUUACCCUGAUCGACUCUUUUGCGCUUAGUAAAGCAUGUACAUAUACAUAUGUCUCUUCAUCACUUUCAUUUUAAUCGGAAUCGUCUAGUCGACGUGAGGAACUACAUCCAUUAUUCCAGUUACAUAAUUUGGCAAGCCAGAGCAUACCAAAUCGUCUUCACGAAUGACUAUUAUGUCUUAUUUCUCCAUUAUCCAAUCAAUGACCUUCUGUAGUCUUAAGAAAUCAUUCUGACUCUUAAAUACCUAACGAUAUGCCGUAAUUAUGCUUAUGGAAACCACAUAUAAAAUGUUGAUAGUUACACUAUUUGUGCCAAUUAACAAUAUUUAUUAAUAAUAUUAGUUUCCUAGUUUUUAUGAGAACACUGAAGUCUAGUUCAGGAAACUUAGCAUUAACUCUCGUUGAAGGGCAAAGAUACUCGCUAGCAGCAUUCAUAUACUUUAGGUAUAACUAUAUAUUUGUAUUUUGGAAGUAAGUUAACUUUUCCAUAAAGAAUUUAAUUAGAUUUUUUAAGAAGGACAUCGUCAUCACUAAUAAAAACAAAUUUCUCGACAUCGACUAACUUUAAGGUUUUAUUAAAUCAUGUAAAUUGCCUUGUAUUGCAGCAGCCUAAAAUUAAAACUAUUGACUGUGAGUUUUUCAAUUUCCACCUUUACUUAUAUUUCGCUUUUGUGCUUUUCCAAAGUUAUUCAACAAAAAUCCAUUUGAAAUUAAUGCCAAAGUCUAAUGAUAUUUUCUACGUACUAAAGAGAAUUCAGUGGAAGUUUUCUUAUGACAAAGCGCUGCAGCCGCCUUUUAGGUUCAAGUUCAAUCAAAUUUUGCCUGGCUACUUGCGUUGCCACGUUUUAUUUAUUUAGUUUUUUUUUUGGCAAAGUUUUUCUAUGCUUCUUAUGUGCUGCUCUGGCAAUUCAUGCAUUGAAUGCAAAUAUUGUUGCUUGUUGUUGUUGGUGAUACCUUGAAGCUGUUCCUAAGCAUAUGCAUAAUUCAAAUGAGCUGCCUUUUUUAUUUGUUAUUUUUUCGCUCGCAGGCUUUGACUUUCCAUUGGAUGCUGCACGUUCCAUGUGAGUUGACAAAAAGCCUUUGGAAUACUCGUAUGGGUCGUCUUUUAGCCUGCCAGUGCUCGCUUUCAGCUGCACUGCUGGACUUUUCCGUAGCCAGUUCGUGUGGGAUUUUCUUGCAUUUGCCUAGACGUCGCCUCCUACGGCCAUACACAUUUGAUUUGCAUACAAAUACGUGGUGUUGCAAGACGUGUUGAACGUGCAACAUGCAGUCUGCCGCACUCAAGUGCACCUCAUCGCGCUGAACGACGUACUCUAGAGAAUCUUUGCUGUUUGCCAGUUGCACUGCAUUCACAGAGAUUGCCUGCGGUGGCUCUAUGCCGGCCACCCAUCCGUCACUACGAGUACAGCUCAGCUAUUUCUGAUGUACGUUGCAGCAGUUGCAAUUGUCGAUUGCGUUGCUCGUAUUGUUGUUGUUUGAAUUUUUAUUUAUUUAUUUAUGUGCUUUUGAAAUUUGCAAUUUCGGCUGUUGAGUGCACUUUUAAUCUAUUCAAGCAGGCGAAGGAGCGGCAUGCCAACCGGGCGAGUGGUCUUUUGGUCUUUUGUGUGUUGCACUCUCAUUGCUUAGGCAGCCAAUUUUUCUAUGAAACGAUUUUGGCUACUACAUGCAACUGCCGUGUGGUUCGCCUGUGGCCAAAUAAUCCUGUCUGCUGCAUAUGUAAUGCGCAUUUGUCGCCCUGUCAUCGUGCGCUCAUAUCCAUAGAUGCGUGUGUGUAUUUAUGCAAAUUUUUCGUUUAUUUUUAAGGUGCAGAAAGCCUCGAUUCUGCUGCUGCUGCGUAUGCAUAUGCGAACGCCUUUGCAGCAGUGACAUGACUGUUUAGGGCAUGACAAUGCCAACAGCUUGCAUCAUUGCGCUAGCUUCUUGCCACAAACUGCUAGCAUUGCAUCUAAAGAUGUGCUGCUGUGCUGUGUUGGCAGUUCAUUCGUCCAUUAUGAGUGCAAUCAAUCUCGAUGGCCACGCUAGAUAUGUGGGCAAGCUUGAAGAAAUGCGUCACAGUAACAAUAACAACAAGAUGUACAGCGAAAGCCAACAUUAACGAGCACUUUAUAAGUACAUACAUACAACCUGCAACUCAGCAAGUGAGUUGGUACUUAUCUCCAUGACUGCAUAUUUUGAUUAUGCCACACCAGCAUUUCUUGCUUGUUGAUAGUUUAAGUUGCAGGUUUUAAAGACGAUUGCUUAAGCAGUUGCCGUUUUAGCCAAUAACGUUUCACCGCAUUCUGACUUCCACUACAUAAACUCACUAACAGCAACAGCUUAAAUUUUGCCUGCACGCUGCAAGCGUUCGUUUCACUUCCUUUUCAAACCCAGCAAUACUCGGCUGCCGCUUUUGUUGUACUAACUCUUCGCUCAAACUUCAAAUUACAAAAGCGCACAUCAACUACGCAAAUCACAUCCAAUCAUUGGAAGCCCUUCGCCGACUUCAGUCCGCCACAACGUUGUGUUGCAACCCGCAUCUGCAGCCGUUGGCCAAUGGUCUUGCUUCUGCGCCCUCGCCACGCUCGAGUACGCUUGUCGAGGUUAGCUGCUGCAAUUGAUUCUUUGGCUUUCAGUUAUCGCUGCUGGCUAGCCUCGCAUUUGUUGGCCAUGAUUAAGCAAUUUGAUGUGUACAUCUUGAUAACAGUGUGUUUACAUAGAAGUACGCUUAAAUCCGCAUAGCAUUUCCUUAUUCCACGCCAAUGUUGCUGUGCAUCCGCUUGGCUUAUGUUUGCCUGGAACAUUUCCUGGUGAAUGCUGCUGGCUCUUUCAAUUUGCGUUGCCGGCAGAUGAGCUCGACAAGAUUUCAACUUUUCCUGGCACCCAGAAAGGUCACGUUGUGUACGUUUACUAGCCCUAACAUAUGUACAGAAAUACAUAUAUGUAGUUGUCUAUAAGUCUGUAUUUAAAUUUAGAGGGUAAAAAUCAAAUUCAAUCCUUUGAGUUGUGAGCGGUUGCUACCAUUUCUUAUCAUCCCUUUCACAUACAUAUAAGUUUAGUUCGCAAUUCAAAGUUUUCUCCCACUACCAGCAAUUUACAUGCAUAUUACACAAGUACGUUUACAUAUAUAUAUUUAUAUGUGUACUUGCGGAAGUUCAGUGUGGACAAUGUAUCAUCGAUUGCUGGCGGGCAGCUCCCUAUUGCGACCAUGAAUAAGAUUUCCUAACUAUUUCCGCUUUAAAUAGAAUUAUUUACUUUUUUAGUUCGUACAAGUACAUUCUAAAAGUUUUCGAAAACUUACAACUAUACAGACAUAGUUAUGGUACAUGCAUGUGUCUUUCAUUUAAAGUUAGUCUUCUAAUUUUUUAAAAAAAUAUUAAAUAAAAUGGCAUUACUUUUAAUUUAGGUUAGGUUAGAUAUCUGGAUCUCACUUGGACAGUUUUGAGCGCUGACUAGAGCAUACUGUCAUUGAUUUCAAUGCUAAUAAAGCCGCUCUACUGUCGGAGUGAGUGCAUACCUGUCUAAAGAAGGCAGCAGUACCUUAAUGACAGCUAUCUCUGCCUGAAAGACGCUGCAUUUGUCUGGCAGCCGAAAACUGGAGAAUUGCUUAGCUGGUGUGACCUUGUCGAGCGCCAUCCACCAGAUGACAACUCCAUAAAACAAUAUUGGUUUAACUAUGGUUUCAUAGAGCCAAAAACCACCGUUGGUGAGAGUCCCGUUGGUGAGACUCCCUUUUUCCAAUAGCUCUUCUACAGCAGUAAAGGGCUAUCGAAGCUUUUCUCACUUUCUCUUCAAUGUUUGGCUUCCACGAGAUUUUCUUGUCCAGGAUAAGCCCCAGGUACAUCACCUUGUCUCCCAAUGAGGGGGGAGUGGCAUAUCAAAUUUUGUACCUCCUUCAAAUUAAUACCAGUUCACUGUCACUGGGAUUAAUGGCUAAGCCACUUCAGCGCUCAUCUCACAUAUGGUCUUUAGGAAUUUUUCUUUUACCAUAAGAGCUACAUGAUCCGCAUAUGCUAUCACAUGGCAGCCUCGAUCUUCGAGGUUCCUCAGUAGUUUGUUCACCACCAAGAUCCAGAGCUAUGGAGAGAGAAUCCCGACUUGAGAGGUGCCCCUAUUUAACUUUCGACGUGCAUAUGCACUACACCAUUUCGCGGCCACAGUUCUAUCGCAUAGGAGACUAUAGCUGAUAUACUUAAAGUUCGUUUCUACCCAAAUAUAUCGAGCACGCCAAUGACCACUUCCGUUCUUACAUUAAUAAAGGCUUCCUCGAUAUCCAACAUACAUACAUAAGCCAAUCGCGUAUUCCUCAUUAUAUCCUUAAAGGUACUCCUCCUAAAACUGGGUUUGGCAUGCAUUUAUGAACUAUAAUAGAGGAGGAUGGAGUCAUAUGUAGAAGUUCACGUAAGUGAGGAAAGUUUCUGACUGCCAUUCACUUGGGAGUGGCCAGGAACGAUUCUUUUACAUGUGGCUCAAGCAGCUCACAACUUCCGGUCUUAGACCAAGUAUCCUCUGGGUAGCCAACAGACAUCCGUCUGGAAGCGAGCUAAAGUGAGAAGGCGAAUCCCGCUUAUGCGGUUGUGCGUAGGGCUUGGGUCCCACCACAUAAAAACGAAUAACCAGUGAAUAAGAAGCACAGGCCUCGGAUGAGAAACCCCCCUUUUGAUGACGACCACGGCAAACGUAUAAAGGACUAUGAUUUAAGGGCAUGCACCUGGAAUGUCCGGACCCUUAAUUGGGAAGGUGCCUCUGCCCAGCUGGUUGAUGUCCUCGUAAGAGUAAAGGCUGACAUCACCGCAAUCCAAGAAAUGCGAUGGACGGGACAAGGACGGAAGAAGGUGGGUCCUUGUGACAUCUACUACAGCGGCCAUAUAAAGGAGCGCAAAUUCGGUGUGGGAUUCGUGGUGGGAGAGAGACUCCGUCGUCGAGUCCUGGCAUUCACUCCGGUGGAUGAACGUCUAGCCACAAUCCGCAUCAAAGCGAGGUUCUUCAACAUAUCGCUGAUUUGCGCCCACGCCCCGACGGAAGAGAAGGACGAUGUGACCAAAGAUACCUUCUAUGAGCGCCUAGAACGUACCUAUGAGCGCUGCCCCCGCCACGAUGUCAAAAUCGUGCUUGGCGAUUUCAACGCUAGGGUGGGUAAAGAAGGUGUCUUUGGCACAACAGUCGGAAAAUUCAGCCUCCAUGACGAAACAUCACCAAACGGUCUGAGGCUGAUCGACUUCGCCGGGGCCCGAAAUAUGGUCAUCUGUAGCACUAGAUUCCAGCAUAAGAAAAUCCAUCAAGCUACUUGGCUGUCCCCGGAUCGAAUCACUCGCAACCAGAUCGAUCAUGUUGUGAUAGAUGGACGACAUGUCUCCAGUGUUUUUGAUGUGCGUACGCUUCGUGGUCCCAACAUCGACUCGGACCACUAUCUUGUAGCAGCUAAGAUACGCACCCGCCUCUGUGUAGAAAAGCGCACACGUCAACAAACACAAGGAAGGUUCGACAUCGAGAAGCUGCAAUCACAACCGACAGCCGAACGAUUUUCUACUCGACUUGCACUCCUGCUCUCUGAGAGCACUCAUCAGCAUCUCGGUAUAAGGGAGCUGUGGAACGGCAUAUCAAACUCCUUACGUACAGCUGCAACCGAAACCAUUGGCUUUCGGAAAAGCCAAAAAAACAGCUGGUAUGAUGAGGAUUGUCGUCUCGCAGUGGAGAGAAAACAGACUGCCUACCUCGCAAUGUUGCGAUCGACCGCAACACGAGCGGGAUGGGAAAGAUACCGAGAGCUGAAGAGGGAAGCGAGACGCAUUUGCAGAAAAAGAAAGAAAGAGGCAGAAAUGCGUGAGUAUGAAGAGCUUGACAAGCUGGCCGACAGGGGUAAUGCUCGAAAAUUUUACGAAAAGAUCCGGCGACUAAGUGAAGGUUUCAAGACCGGAGCACACUCCUGUAGGACCCCCAGCGGUGAUCUAGUGGUUGAUGACCAGAGUAUACUGUGUUUGUGGAGGGAACACUUCUCCAGCCUGCUGAAUGGCAGUGAAAGUACAACACCAGGAGAUGGCGAACCCGAUUCCCCAAUCGACGACGAUGGAACAGAUGUUCCAUUGCCCGACCGUGAAGAAAUUAGAAUAGCAAUUACCCGCUUGAAGAACAACAAGGCGGCGGGGGCCGAUGGAUUGCCGGCCGAGCUAUUCAAAUACGGCGGCGAAGAGCUGAUAAGGUGCAUGCAUCAGCUUCUUUGCGAAAUAUGGUCGGAAGAAAGCAUGCCCGACGAUUGGAAUCUUAGUGUACUCUGCCCAAUCCACAAAAAGGGAGACCCCACAAUCUGCGCCAACUAUCGUGGGAUAAGCCUCCUUAACAUCGCUUAUAAGGUUCUAUCGAGCGUACUGUGUGAAAGACUAAAGCCCACCGUCAACAAACUGAUUGGACCUUAUCAGUGUGGCUUUAGACCUGGAAAAUCAACAACUGACCAGAUAUUCACCAUGCGCCAAAUCUUGGAGAAGACCCGUGAAAAAAGGAUCGACACACACCAUCUAUUUGUCGACUUUAAAGCUGCUUUCGACAGCACGAAAAGGAGCUGCCUUUAUGCCGCGAUGUCUGAAUUUGGUAUCCCCGCAAAACUAAUACGGCUGUGUAAGUUGACGUUGAGCAACACCAAAAGCUCCGUCAGGAUCGGGAAGGACCUCUCCGAGCCGUUCGAUACCAAACGAGGUUUCAGACAAGGUGACUCGCUAUCGUGCGACUUCUUUAACUUGAUGCUGGAGAAAAUUAUAAGAGCUGCAGAGCUAAAUAGAGAAGGUACAAUCUUCUACAAGAGUGUACAGCUCCUGGCGUACGCCGAUGAUAUUGAUAUCAUCGGAAACAACACCCGCGCCGUUAGUUCUGCUUUUUCCCGCCUGGAUAAGGAAGCGAAGCGAAUGGGUCUGGUGGUGAACGAGGACAAGACGAAAUAUCUCCUGUCAUCAAACAAACAGUCAGCGCAUUCGCGUCUUGGCUCCCACGUCACUGUUGACAGUCAUAACUUUGAAGUUGUAGAUAAUUUCGUAUACCUAGGAACCAAUAUUAACACCGAUAAUAAUGUCAGCCUUGAAAUCCAACGCAGAAUCACUCUUGCCAACAGGUGCUACUAUGGACUGAGUAGGCAAUUGAAAAGUAAAGUCCUCUCUCGACGAACAAAAACUAAACUCUACAAGUCCCUCAUCAUUCCCGUCCUACUUUAUGGUGCAGAAGCGUGGACGGUGUCAACAUCCGAUGAGACGGCACUAGGAGUUUUCGAGAGAAAGGUUUUGCGGAAGAUUUACGGUCCCUUAAACAUUGGCAACGGCGAAUACCGCAGAAGAUGGAAUGAUGAGCUGUAUGUGUUGUUCGACGACAUAGACAUAGUCCAGCGAAUAAAAAGACAGCGGCUACGCUGGCUGGGUCAUGUUGUUCGAAUGGAUGAAAGUGCCCCAGCUCUGAAAGUUUUCGAUGCAGUACCCGCUGGUGGAAGCCGAGGAAGAGGGAGACCUCCACUCCGGUGGAAAGACCAGGUGGAGAAGGACCUGUCUUCACUUGGUAUUACCAAUUGGCGCCAAACCGCCAAAAGGAGAGAUGCGUGGCGCACUGUUGUGGACUCGGCUAUAACCGCGUAAGCGGUUUCUACGCCAGUUAAGAAGAAAGAAGAAGAAGAAUAGAGGAUUGACAAGUUUUACGCAGAAGAAGCAACAUAAAAUAUUUACAUACGUAUAUAUGUAUGUACAUAUACAAGAAUGAAUAGUAUACUGCAAAUAAGUUGAAAUAAUUGGCUAAUUCCUGUAUAUUAACCAACUUUAUUCCUUAACAUACAGUAAGCUGUAAUGUUCCAUUAAAGCCGAUGACAUAUCCAACCCCAAGAAAUACUCCAACGCCUUCGUAUGUGAAAUUAAUAUACUGUAAUCAAUUCUUUUUCGCCUACCUUUUUGGCUUGCCAAUUUAAUCAAAUAAUGUUUACGCAAUAUUACUUCCGAUCUUAAUUAUCUUCCAUCCAUAUAAAUCAUUACCGACCAAAUAAGAAAUGGCUACAAACACUUAAAGAAAGCAAUAGCAAAAGAAUCUCAUAAUGGCAGCUCAUCAGUGCAGCAUAUUAAGUGAAAAACUAUUUUUUUUUUGUUGCUUUAUUCGCAUGUUUUUGUUUUGGUCUGUUAUGCCCGGCAGAGAUUGAGCUCGUUCUGAGAAUGAGAUGAAGUAAACAGUGAAGACUAUUUAUAUUACACAUGCACAUACAAGCAUAUGUGCUUAAGUCACUUAAUCCCGAAAUCUUAGUUGACUGGAGCAACGGAGAUGGAUGGUAUUUAUUUCAAAAGUGCAUGUAGGGAAUGGUGACCAAUUUUUGUUGAUAAAAGCGGUAUUCCUCUUGUGACUUGAUGCGAAUAUGAACAAAAAUUAUCAUUCAAAGUAAAUUAAAAUAAAUUCAGUAUGUAUUUGGUGUAUAAUUUCUAUCAAAAUAUAAGUGAGCUCAUGUUUUCUGGAAGAACGGAUAUCCCUAUGCAACGGGACCAAUUAACUAUUCAUUAUAUAGUACCAAGUAGUCGUUUAAAUUAUCUACUCGAGGUGUUUACUUGUGUUUCUUCCUCAUUUUGCCGUUGAGUUCAGCCGAAGAAUGUGUCCCCAAGGAAUUGGUUUGGAUACCUACCGGAAUACCGUUCUUAUUAUAUAUUUAGGAAUACUAUAAAUAUCUUAAUUGAUAACAUUGACGUAUUGUAAAAAUCUGCCUUAUUGGACCGACCCGGAAAACUCCCGUGUAACGAGUUUCAAGCGGAUCCGAUUUAUAAAAUCUGUCCUACAUAUUGGUUUUAUGUCAAAACCCUGAUCUGAUGGAGUUAAAUGUACCUCGGAUUCAGAUUCAGCGACCCCAGAAACAUAAGGUACACAUUGAAGGCCCCCAAGUCAGAACCAAUUUUUUUUGUGUGACGGUGUAAUCUGUGGGUGUAAGGAUUGAGGAACGUAAUGCUUUCUGCUGUUUAUUUAGCGUAAAUGAUAUAGUUUUUCUGUUGGGACAAAGAAAAGGAUUAUUUAUUAAAUCUUAAAAGUCCAUAUUUCCUCUCUCGACGAACAAAAACCGAAACUCUACAAGCCCCUUAUCAUCCCCAUCCUUCGGCUAUUACGUGGUGUCUACACCAAUUAAGAAGAAGAAUCUUAAUUACUCUCAAAACCCAUUUAUUUUAAAGUGAGUUGAAAAGAGAGUUUCCAAUAAUAAUGCUGCAACACAAUCAGAAAUAAGGUGUUAAAAUUUAUUGAACAACUAAAAUUCGGUACCAAUCAUACAAUCCCGGCAAUGAAACAAAGAGUUCCCGAAAACUCCUCGUGACAUCACUAGUCAGUAUACAUAAGUAUGAAUGAAUGUGUCAGCUCAUCUGAUAAAUAGCCGUGCUAAUGUUUAUCUGUGGAGUAACGCCACACGCGUCUAUUAUUGUUGCUGUUUGCUGGUUUAUUGCCGCCGCAAAUAUUUCGUUAUUUAUUUGAUUGUCGAAAUUGCCUUGGCGUUAUUGUUUUCGUACUCAAUAUCCACUCUUUCGCAAAUUCCGAUUUUUUCGCUGCUCUCCUUUGUCCUUGGUAAGGUCUGCAUGGUCGUCAGUAUGAUGUUGACAUUUUUGGCGUGGUUGGUUUGUUUAUCUACUCGGUUGCCCGCCUGUCUGUAACUGUAAUUUAUUUGUUUAGCAACGCAAAAAAGUUGAAAAUGAGUAGAGCAAAUUACACGAGGAGCAGUGCGUGUGAAUGGGCGAAUAGUUUUAGUUUGAGUGAAAAAAGUGAAACUGGAAGUGACGCCUAACAAGCGCAUGAAUUUUGUAAUUUUCAUGUCACUUUGGGCGUCUACGAAGUUUCGACAGUCCGUUGCUAAGUGUGGACGCCUAUGUACAACUGUUGCGGACUUAAUACAAAUACAUUUCCAAUUGAAAGCAUUUUUAUUGUGUUUUGGUGGUUUUCUUAUCGAUCUUCCUUUAAUUGCACGAACACCACUUUCUUGGCCAACACACCACUAACGACCCGCACAAGUUUUGGUAACCGCUGACAGCCGUAGAACUCAACGCUUUCACCUACUUGAACACAUUCCUUGGCACUUGACAGCGUUGAGGUUGCAGUUUUUCCUAUGCCACCGCCACGUUUGCGAAAACAUUUGUGGCAUGUAGCACUUCUAACGCAUAGCAAUGGGACUGAAUUGUGCCCAGAUUUAUUUGCGGGCGUAGUGUCGUUGGUGGAUGCCAGCUUUGAAUGCGCUUAAUGAAGUGGACAUAAACUGUUGCGCCAGCCACACCAUUCGAUCAAAUCCACCUACAUUAUAUUGCCCCAUGCACAAAAGGUCCAACCACGCGUCUUUCCACCUCCACCACCUGCGCCGCCCCGUGCGCUACUUGAGCGUUUAGCGUGACAUUCUGUUUUUAGUGUUGCCAGCACUUGAAGCCAUUUCAGUUGGGGAAAGGGCGACUUAGCCAAGUGUUUCCUUGGUGACGCUUGUGUGGGAGCGGUGCUGGCGUGUUUGCGAUUGGUAACCUUCAGUUGCUGCUGCUGCUGUAAGACGAAGUUAAAGUGUUGUGGCGUCAAACUUUAUCCUUUGCUAUCAGCAGUUCUUUACCUUGCACACCACCGAUUUAAACAAAGUUUUGUAUUAUGCUUUUGGGGCUUCUAGGUGACGGGGGGUUGAAGACACCAGCAUUGAGUAAGCAACCGUCAAACUAUCAACAACUUUUAGUUGCAUAUUUGACUUUCGGGUAAUACUAGCACAAGUGCACACACCAACAUCAACUAGCGAGUGUGGAUAUGCAGGAUAUGAGUUUAUUAGAAGUGCAUUAAAGUUGUAAUGUCUCAUGGACAAUAUUGAAAUUGCGCGUACUUACUUAGUUUCUUAUAGUAUGUGUAAGUACUUAGAGCAUGCAUAUAAUCUGAAAUUAAUCAGAAUACAACAUGAAUAUAGAACCUUACUUAUGUUAUAGGUAGAUGUUGGCCGCCUCACACCCUCACGCUUUCGUCUCGGGUUCAUUAUUUGUCACGCUCGAUUAACUAACAAAUAACUUCCUACUGCCGUAAUGACCCUGUAGAAAUCGGUCGACCCUUUCUAUUGUUUUUUAUAUUUUUGUAUUUAUUUUCACUAUUGCCCCCUUUCAUAGCAAUCUAUUUUUACUAUCCUGCCUAUUCAUAUGUUUGCACUAAUUCUCCACACGGUCAACACAUAACGGUCUUUGGCAAUGCCAUAUUAAUGUUUUUCCUCUUAUAGCGCUUCCUUUUAUUAACUUUGGGUCUGUUUGCUUUCCAUUUCGGUUUGUUGCUCAAUGUCGCUGCAGUGUUGGUUUUGCACUUCGUCGUUGUUUUGCCUUUGCUUUUGUUUUUUUUCUUUUUUUUUCAUUUUCGUUAAACUUUUCCAUACUUUUACAAGGUUCUGCUCUUUUCGGUUACUCAUACCAAAGCUCAUAGCAGUUAAGUGCUGAACACAAAGACGACGACACGACACGACGUAGCGACGGCUGAUCACAAAUGUCGCUUUAAAGCCAGCGUCUUGAACAUUUUGAAGACGGCAGCGAUAUAUCAAACAGCAAUUUCAUUGUUGCCGUACUAAAAUCUUUCACUUCAAUAAAAUUUACAUAUUUAGUUUAAAGUGAAAUUAUUUACGCAAAAAAUGUAAAAAUGGUCGAUUUAUUUGUUUUAAAUAAUCGAUUGGUAUUAUUAAUGAUAUAUCAAAGCUAUUUUACGCUCCUUCUGGCAAAAUAAGGUCAUACUUUUUGAACUUUGAAUAAUUUUACAUUUCACAUAUUAGUGGCAGCUCUAUAGCGGCCAUUGUCGUCGGCAAAAUUAGAAACACUUCUAAUUUGGCGACAGCGAAGACUUCAACCCUCUUGUUGUGAAGUCGUGCUGUUGUCAAAAAAUCUGUCCCCAUAAGAACGCUAGUAUUUUAAUAUUUGACAGAUGUCGCUCGUCGCUUGUCGUCUUCUAUGUGUUUAGCACAUUAGUCUCUCAGUCGCUAUACUGCUGCCUUGCCCCACUUUGCCUCAGUGACGUCUAUAAGUAAACAAUUUAAAUGUGUCACCCCGAAAAUGAGGAAUUCGAGUAAACAAACUGCAAAUUACCCUUGGGUAUUCAUUCUACGCUCGUCCUCAUGCGUGCGGUAUGGGGGAAUUAUUCUAUACGGUGUCCUUUGUUUUCUUCAUAUUCACUUAUUUUUAUAUCUACGUGUCUUGUUCUAUUCCAAUAACUUCAUACAUACAUAUAUUCCUUUACAUCUUAGAUAUGUAUUUAUGAAUAUCAAAAUGUAUAUAUCUAUAUACUACCAUGUAAUAUAAGACCACUGCUUGACUAAUGCUCAAGAACUCAAGAUUCGAUUUAAUCCAAAUAAACAAACUUUUUAAAGCACGUGAAUACAAAAUUCUAGUACUGAAAAGGAUUAACUUCAGGCUCCGAAACUAUUAGGUAACGCCAGUCUUUCACACGCCUUUUUUCUGACCCGAUUUUCUACAAAUAUGAACCACCCGCUAAAGAUUUACACCGUUGCCUCAUGCGUAACCAUAAUCAGCUGCUAUUAAAUCUAAAAGUAGGAAUCUCGUCUUAAAGUGCUCAAAACAGAAGAAGUUAAUAUCUGUCAUCAGAAAGUUUCUAAUACAUUCGCUAGUCGGCUUGAAACUUUUCAGAUCUCUAUGUAUCAGUAGGAAGUAGCAAGUAGUAGCGGGCAAGUAGGAACCGCUGCUGACUGCAUUUGCUGGAACUUCGCUACUUCAAACUGUUUCUCGGGGGCCACCGACCACAUCAGACUAAGGUGCCAUCCGCACAAAUUAGGAAUCUACUCGUCGGAUUAGUACCGAUUCUAUGAUCUAGUAGCGGAGACACCAAAGCAUUUACUCCUUGACUGGCCGGCGAUCGCGAAAAGGAAAAGGAGUGAGAUAAUGGGGGAUCUACAUCUCCAAAGAGACAGUAUCGCGUCCAUCAGUCUUGGAACACAGAUUACAGGUGGAAGCUCUGUCAUAUUAUUCAGACCAUCAUAAAAUACCGGUUUUUAUGACGGAAUGUUUUAGGAAGGUAAAAACUGAGUAUUUGUUGUAGGUUAUCUUCAGUCUAGCCUAAUAGCUUUGUAUAUUAAUUUGAAUACAGGAAGCUUGUCCACAGUGACUAACAAUUUCAAGACGGCAUACUCUUACCAGCAAUUACUUGACCUGGAUAUUGUGGAUUUUGUUCUUAUACCGCCAGUGAUCCUCAGAAAAUUGGUGGGUUACUACCUCUUUGAUGCGUUAUUGACCCAAAGUCGUAACUCUGACAAGGUAUAUUAAAAAACACAACAAUCCGAGACUUUUGUCUCAGUUGACCUUUCUAAAUUAGUUUAUUAUAGGGGAAUUUCAACUCACUUUAAAAUGCGAGCUACUGAUGUCGAAGCACAGAGCAAACACAAUAUUAAAUCGGAAUUCCUCCUAUGGACGCCACUGUUUCCAUUAGUGCACUUAUUCUCAUGGUGAAAUGGAGCGGAAAAGGCAGAUGCAAAGGGGCAUAUGAGUACACAUGUUUAUUUAUGGACUACAAUGACAUUUUAAUAUACCCACAUAUCCCAGACGUUAGGUGGCGAGUACUGAGGUGUAACUCUUACGCUUUGAGUCAUUUGCUAUUAUUGUCCAGCAACAGCUUGGUGAAUGCGACCGCUGUGCGAUAGAAGAUGGUGGUGCAGGGAUAGUAACUCGGCGCUGCUGUGAAACAGUUUUGAAAGCUUCUAACCGUUACCGAAGCGGGUGUACACGGGGUUAAGCAGUGAUUUCAACUCAUACAUGAGCAGGAAAUCGGUAAAUUCGUAAGCACAGCAACGACAGCAAUCACAAGUCGGCAGCCAGCCUCGCUCUAACCACAGUGUCGCCCACAUUUAGUCUCGAAAGCAAAUAAAAUAAGCGCAAAUAAAAAAGGAGUGAGCGCUGCCACACAAAAGGCGCAAACAACUUAAGAGUGUGGAGUGUGGGCAGCGGGAAGCGUGCCUCGAGAGGCAUUUCAGUCUAGAAGGGCUUUUGCCCACGCACUGCACGUACAUAUGUAUGCGUGUCUGUGGCGAAGGCUGCGGCUGCCAAGUGAAGCGUGCGAACACAUUUUUAUUUUCGGUACAAAUCCAAAAGCAAAUAAACCUAAAAUCCUGAAAUGUAAAUAGACUGGGGUGAGCAUCAACGAAAUUGGUGGUAAAGGAAUUGAGUUGAACGCAAAUAAUUCAUGUCGACUGUUGCAGCCGCUUCGAGCGUAGAAUGCGCUGCUGCUGCUGCCGCUGUCAAUGUGACUUGUGCUCGUUGCAUUUCGGCUUGUUAGUGCUGCUAUUGUUCUUGUUGUUGCCGCUGCUGAUUCGUCUUUGCGGUGUUUAUUUACUUUUUUGCUUCAUUGUAUCUUCAUUGUACAUAAAUUUUCAGUCGAUUUGCCACUCGGUUAAUCCUUGGUGCACGCAUAUACAUAUGUACGAGUUUGUAUAAGGCAGACAGGCGGGCCAACUGGGGUGUUUGGGGAACGUCUGGCACGACCGGCGACUGGCAGACAAACAGACAAUCAGUUGUGGCGAAAUGGCGUAAAUUGGCGCAGGCGGAAACAUUUGAUUUACAUCUUGUUUACUCAUACUUUUCACCGCGCACACAAAUGUAUACAUCGUUUGCGAAGUUUUACAAGUCAAGUACAUCGCAGCUUUCAAAUGUGGUCGCGACUUUCGAUGUGCGUUUGACGUUUUCAGCAUUAUCCAGUAAAUAAAUUGUCGGCAUAAAAAUUCUCAUUCUUUAAAGCGUUGAAGCGCCAGGGCGUUAGCAUUUUGUCGUUUUUUGCAUGUUAAAGCAAACGAGAAAUUAAGCAAAGAAUUUUAACACACGAGCGGUGUUACUUGGAGGUGGUGCGCGUUGAACUGUGGCCAAUAGACGCAAAUCGAGCGCGCAACCGUCGCGAGGCCACAGUGCUGCCACCGCGCUUAAUAAGCUAAGAAGCCCACACAGCUCACGUGACUACAAAGUCGCCGCCGUUGGCUGGUAUCGCAACCUUGUUGUGGCAUGCCACCGCUGAGCCGGCUUUGUUUAUGUGCGUGCCACAUCAUGUGUUGGCCGUGUCAUCCCCAACUCGCGGCGUUGGCAAGAGUCGGCAGGUUUUUGUGAACUGCGGCGUUUGGUAUGCGAUGCGGGGUGUUGGUUUGAGGAAAUCGGAUUUGCAAAAUCAUCUUUAGUUCGUGCAGCCAGGCAAAAUUCACAAAAACAGCCGGCGGCGCUGAAAACAAAACAGCGACAAUAUGGUGUGUAUAACAAAGGACCAAACAGCAUUUAUUUGCUUUCUUUUCAAGCGAAACAUGGAAUUUGUUGAAAAAACAGCAAACGCCGAAAACUGGCGGGGAAAUAUGAAAAAUAUGCCACAGCUUGAACGCUGUGAGUCUGUUUAUCAUUCUCCAGUUUUUCAGUUUUUUCACUCAUCUUUUUUUUGGCAGAAAGUUACUAAAAUUCCGUGUGUGUGUGUGCAAAUUCGAGUCAGUUUAGUUGGGCAUUAGCUCUUGCGACCACCUGUUGCUGCAGCCGUUUAAGAGUCACUUUCAGAGCAGCUUAAUGGUAUUGGGAAAAGGGUAUUCUGGAAGUCAGCAAAAUGUAGAAGACAAAUAGGAAGUUAAAAGUAAAAUAUUUAUCACAGGAUGGAUUAACCAAUAUGAACUUGACUUUAAUCUUUACAUUGCUUCCUUUUACUUUCGAAAGCAAUAAUUAAUUUGUGAUUUGUCUAAUGCGAGGUUUGUACUUUACGUCGUGGUUGCUAAGAUAACAUUAUUAUUGGAGAUAGCUUAAGGACAUUAAAAGACAAUGCUUCGUUCGCAAAUAUCCGAUAUUUUUGAACAUAUAAGUUGGUUAGGUUACUAGGCAGAUAUCUGCAUAUGCAGGAAGAUUUCACUUCGACGGUUUUCACUUCAGUGGUCUUUGUGAUACAAAUAAAAUCCUAAUGGAUCAAAAGACCCUUAAGAUUCGCCAAAGCGCUGGGAAUACAUAUGUUAUAAACUUCUUCAGUCGGGUAAUGCCAAUUCUAGGCAAUUCGGUAAGUUCGCCGAAAGUGAGCCUUCCAAGGGGUUUCAACGCAUUUAGAGUACGUUUUCGCAACGGCUCGAAAAGCUUUUGAAAGUUCAUAAUGAAUACUGAUUAUGGUGGAAACUGGCACUUGACCAAUUGACCUACAACUAUGGGGAUUAGCUCUACAUGGUCUCAAAUAGUCGUUGCGAAGAAUCUCAUCAAAUUGGUUUGGGAAUAAUUAUAUGGUACGCAUGUAUUGUAUUCAUAUAUCUGUUGCUAACAGAGAUACGGCUUAAGGAACCAACUUAAGCUUUUAAAGAAAUAAUAAACACAUAAUCAAAUUUAAUAACUGAAAGUGAAAUGAACAGUUUUCAGUUCGUAUUUUUUUUUACAAGCAUACCUUAACUACCACUAUAUAGAUAUAUAUACGUACAUAUGAUACAUUCAACGCUAGGUAAAUCGUUUAAAGCAAUAUGUGUGGAAGCAUACAUAGAGUACGAGUGUACGCCCCGAGCUUCUUAUACCCGUUGCACACUGUAGGGAAAAAACUUUAGAAAAUAUGGAAAUAUUAACUCCGGCACGAACGCGAUUAAUGUCAAGCGACGUGACAGCUAAAGAGGGAUGUGUGCAAAGAGCAGAAAAAAGGAAGGGGCACACAAACUGACACAGUUCGGCGCACGGGUUCGUUCACGGUGGUCGGUGUGUGGUUUGCGCAAAAAACACUUCGAGGCUGCUGAUGUGACAGACACAUCGCUGUGACGCUGAUGUGACAAGGUAGACAGCGAAGUGUAGCGGUAGUCCGCUAUACACCAGACUACGCUGGCAGCAGUAGCAAAAUCUGGAUACACCGCAACAACAGUCAUUUAAAGUAGUACCAUUUAGUCAACAAGCAUAUAAGCUGAAAUUUGCAUGGGAUGGGAAUCUCCUACAUGUGCUACGAAGUUUAUCAAUGAAAUGUGAAUUUAAGAAAUACUAAUUUGUCAUUGAAAUAUAUUGGUUUCCUCAAGUAUAUCUUAUAGGAUUUCUGGUUUUCAUAUUAGAUUAUGGUAAAAAAUGCUAUAUAGUAAUUCAAUAUUCGUUAUUCCUAUCAACAGUGUUUCAUCCAGAUAAACUACCUCGAAUUGAAAGAAAUCAGCUUCAAAAUAUCAGAAGUUUUCUAACAAUAUAAAGUCUGAUCUUCAUCUGAGGAGCAGCCACAGACCCUAACUAACCAUACUGUGCUCAAUAUUUUUCUUGAGCCCACAUCUCUCAUCUUCUUUGACCUUCUUUGAAAACAAACGAUGGAUAUGUGAAAUUAAAUACCAAUUUUUUAACGAAAUAAAACACUGUCGCGUGACUUCGGCACUGCAGCGAGAAUGGGCGACUUUUGAAAAUCGCUGCGGCGUAGACUGAUGGACGGACAGCUAGUGGCUCCGUUGAAAUGUGGUUGCUGCAGCAGCAAAAAGUAAUUUGCUCGCAACAUCACGACAAUCAGCGAGUCCGCUAGCAGACGCACUCCCCAAAACGUCGGCAAAAUAAGGGCAUAGAAAACGCAGCAACAACUACAACAGCAUCGACUGACAGGCUGCAGCAAACAACUAGCGGGCAACAUGUUUAUGAUAAAUUACUUCCGAACAAGAUGAUGACGAGGCAACGCGUUGCAUGCGGCUGCACGCAGUCAGGCUGCAAGUUGCUGCUAACAAGCAAAGCCCAAACCAUGUGUAGUUUACGCUGCCAACGCGGCAAUAAACUGUUGUACAAUAGUUGUCUUGGCCGAAAGGUGAUGCAUUUGUUGUUGUUGUAGUCGGUGUUGCUGAUGUUGCAAAUGCAAAUAUGUCAAACAUUUACAUGCGCUUGUUAAUUUAUGGCCGCUUCAGCGUAGCGGGGCCAAGCAAUUUCGCAAGUUGCAAGAUGCAGCUGCACAAAACCGAGCUGCUGCUGGCUAAAGGAGCAAAAGAACAGCCGAGAAAAAAAAUCGCAAGGGUUAUCGUACAAUUGUGUAAGUGCACCCUGCAGUGAGCGGCAAAAAUCACCAACAAAAAAAGAAACUGCGUAUACUAAGAACAUUACGAGGACGCACACAGAAAGUGCGGAAAAAGUUAAGAAUUGGCAUACCACGCUUGUUGCCGCAAAUUGUUACCGAAACCGCUGAGGCGGGGCGGGCUCAAUUCAAUUAACGAAUGUCAGAAAUGAUGGUUUGUGAAGGCAGGGGCGUUGAGAGGAAGUUAAAUAGGUUUUCGUUAAGCGUUCGUGGACUCGGGCAGUUUGUUUAUUUUGGCAUGUAUUAAUAUCGGUUGCACCUCCGAGUGUUUAGCAACAAGUGGCAAGCCGUCGGAGUACAGAUGUGCGGAGUUAGGCACCUUAGGGCGUGAGCAAAAGGUGGAAUCCCUAUGAAAAUAUAAUUAUUUCAGCGUACGUGUUGUUGGGUAGAAAUGUUCCGCGACUUUUAAUAAUUAUAGACCUGAUUCAAUAUGAAUGCGUUUCCUUGUUCAGUUCUCACAGAUGCAACUUAGAGACAAGUGCUGAACUGCCUUAUAUGCACGAUAAUAGAUUAUAUUGAAUUAUCUAGUCACAUUAGUCCAGUAAUAUUGAGCGCGUGAUGAGCAAAGAUCUGAGCUAUAAAGCGAACCCAGUAAUACAAUUAUCAAUAAGAAAAGCAUAAUUUUGUUUUGUUGUCGGUACGAAAUUGUACCGUUAUUGUUGGCAAUGUUUAAAUAUUAUGGCGGCAAUGAAUAUUCGAAUAGCAAUUACCCGUUUAAAGAACAACAAAGCGGCGUGGGCCGAUAUAUUGCCGGCCGAGCUAUUCAAACCUGGCCUGAAAAAUCCACUCCCCAUUCCGCAUACCCUAAAUCUUGGCGAAGAGACGCUGCUUUUGGCAGCACAAAAAGAAUCUGCCUUUAUCGUGUGACUUCUUUAAUUUGAUGCUGCAGAAUUAAACAAUGAAGGUACAAUCUUCUAAAAGAGUGUACAGCUGCUUUUUUAUUAUUAUUACAAUUGUACCUAGUAUGCAAUGAUUAAAUACUAACAACAAUUAAAUUCAUAACUUAAAAAAUAACAAUUAAAAGCUAAAUGUAAGAGAAAUUCAUUUGCUGCUACAGUUGCCUUGCUAAGUCUGAAGGCUUUUUAUGUUUCAGUCGGUUUUCUCGUUCAGCAGUACCGAUGAGUCUGGAUGCCUCUUUAUUUACAUGUUGUAUAAGCCUCGUGAGUCCUUGCAAGUUUGGUUAUUUCGCUUACUACUGCAUUCACACCAAGAUCACGGUGAAGGUUAGCGGAUCUAACAUACCAAGGAGCAUUAACUAUACUUAUUUGUACCUUAUUUUGGAAGCACUGAAUGCAGGCAAUACAGUUUUGACUUGAGCUCCAUAGGCCCAAAUUGGCUUUAGUACUUGAUUAUAUAUAAACAGCUUGUUUGCGAUUGAAAUCGUGGAUCUCCUACCAACCAGAUGGUAAAACUUAGCAAAUUUGAAAUCAAGCUCAAGCAAUACAGCUGCUGACGUACGCCUAUGAUAUCGAUAUCACAACACCCGCGCCUUUAGUUCUGACUUUUCCAGACUGGAUAAGGAAGCGAAGAGAAUGGGUCUGGUGGUGAAUGAGGACAUGACGAAAUGUCCCCUUUCAUCAAACAAACAAUCCACGCAUACGCGACUUGGAUCCCACGUCACUGUUGACAGUCAUACUUUCAAAUUGUAGAUAAUUUCGUCUAUCUUGGAACCAGCAUCACCAAUAACAUCAGCUUUGAAAUCAAACACAGAAUCACUCUUGCCAACACGUGCUACUUUGGACUGGGUAGGCAAUUGAAAAGUAAAGUUCUCUCUCGACGAACAAAAACCAAACUUUAAAAGUCCCUCAUCAUUCACGUCCUACUUUAUGGUGAAGGAGCGUGGACGAAGUCAACAUCCGACGAGAUGAGGAAUUUUCGAGAGAAAAGUUUUGCGGAAGAUGUACGGUUCCUUAAACAUUAGCAACGGCGAAUACCACAGACGAUUUAAUGAUGACCUGCACGUGUUAUACGACGAUAGUGCAGCGAAUAAAAAGACAUCGGCUACGCUGACUAGGUCAUGUUGUUUGAAUGGACGAAAGCGAUCCAGCAUUGAAAGUGUUCGAUACUCGCUGGUGGAAUCCGAGAAUGAGGAAGACAUCCACUCCUUUGGAAAUAUCAGAUGGAGAGCUAUCUGGUUUUGCUUGGUAUUUCCAGUUAGCGCCAAUUUGCGAGAAAGAGAGACCAAUGGCGCAUUAUUAUUGAUUCGGCUAUAAUCGCGUAAGCGGUGUCUGCGCCAGUUAAGAAGAAGUUAUAAGUUGGUGUUGUUCUUUUAACCAUCGUAAUAUUUUUAUUUAAGGAACCACAACAAUUAUUUUAAAUACAUACUUUUGUUGUCACCUGGUGAACUGCUUUUGAAUUUAUUUUUGAAACCCACUAUUAGAGGACCAUUAAAAUUGUGGAAGUGUUGCUUGCAUUUUUAUAUUUUGCCCAUUUCGUUUGGGCAAUAAAUUUCACAACUCAUGCCACAAACGUGCUCCACAAACAAACGUACAUCUCUCUGUUGCACAUAAAUGGUUGAAAUAAUGUUAAUCCUUGAAUAAUAAUCAUACGCAAAUUUAUGUCCUUGUGUGUGUGUUUGUGAAAUCAUUGCGUCUAGCAGCGUUGUAUGUACGACGACAUGUUGCCACCUGCUGCAACACUAGCCGCCACCUGCCACCGCAAAUAAAACAUUAAUUUGUACAUUUGUAUAACGGCAUUGUUGUUGUGCUUUGUUGUCUUUCUGGUAUUUACUGUCGAUUUUACGUUAAAACCAAAUUAAAUUAUCUGUUUACAUUGGGUGUGACAGUCAGUCUACAUGACAUUAUGUUGUGGCAUAUAAACUCACAAGCCAGCUAGCCAUUGUGUACACGUUGUAUGUGUGUAUGCAUUUAUGUUGCAUGUGGCACGUUGCAUCAUUUGUUCGCGUUUCACAUUUCGUAGAUCUAUUUAAUUUCACUUUAAUUUAAUUGCGUCAUCGCAUUGCAUUUCGUUCCGGCUUAAAAUGUCGGCGUGUUUUUCAAUGCGAAACGCAACGGUAGUCGGCGACAGACGUGCGGCUCAUCGAUUCGACCCAGCACUACCGCUUGCAGUCACCAAAUCUACGAAAUGGUUUCUUAACCCAGGGAGCAAAGGAGUGGGGUUUUGGAUGACUACGAAUUGUAUUUUAGGAAAUAUGAAUACUACAGUUACAUAUAUUGCACGGAAAAAUGUAGUUUGGAGCUUUAUUGCGAAAGGUUGGAAUACUCACUGGCACACGCCUUUACGAUUGGGCUGACGGAUGAUGUCAAGAACAAGGUACCAGAGAAACAAUGGAGCAUCUCUCGUUCGCUUGAACUGCAUUGUCAAGGCAACGGAUCCAGCAUGUCAUGUCCUCAGUGUGAGAAUCUGGAAGAUAGUGAAGCCACAUAACCUCUUAAAAUUCGCGCAGGCAUCCUGAAAGAUGACUACUCCUCGUGGACUACGUGACGGCACUACAUCUGGUAUCGCAAAGGACCAAGACUGGUCUAUGUGUGACUUAUUGGCCUACCAUACUAACCUAACCUAACCUUUAUUGCGCUAGUCUCUGGCAAGUUUGUUGAUUUUUUUCUCUUCUUAACGAUAAUCCCGACUUAAGAUCCAAAUUCUGAAUCAUAAUUUAUGGAAAAUAGAGUCAUUGGAAUAUAAAUCCAUAAAGUGUUGACUUUUUAAUUAAUAAAAAAAUACUUGCUAAAUAAAUACUUGAUAUUUUUUUUAUAGACUCGGAAGGCAAUCGAAAUAUUCUAAAAAUUUUCAUUCUCAAUUAAUUUUGUUAUGUGGGUGAUUUAAUCGCGUUUGGUACGUAUGUGGGUGUUCACAUCCAUUGGCGAGUAUAAUCACGUGAUGUACGAGUUACCAUUCGCAAUUGAACCAUUUGCGUAUGAAUCCUUUUGCACGUUGCGGUUUUAGCACUAAACUCAUAAUUUGCGAAUGACUGGAAUGCUAACGGAAAUCGGCUCAUAAAAUAUUUUGUUUUGUUGGAAUAAUUGCAACCGAAAGAAAUAUAUUCAAGUGAAUGCUUUGUGAAAAACUACGAGCCACAUGCGAUUAUGCUCGAUCUGUUCAAUAGUUGGCAGGUGUCUCUGCCGAGGUGUACUAUGUACGCGAAGGUCACGUCAAUAAUUACGCACUUAAUUUUGUUGUCCCAGUGCCGGCGAAUGUACGCGACAUCACCUUCACCUGGCAGAGUUUGGCCGGUCGCCCGUUGCCGU